rnacentral:lncRNA from 1 species
AGAGAGGUACCUUGUUUGGACUGAUUGGGGACUGUGUAGAAGCUGAAGCAGGAUCUGGAGCUGGGAUUGAAGCAGGAGAGGGCUCAACUGCCAUUCUUUUUCUGUGCACACUCUCUUCCAACCCGUAAACAGAUUUUCUUCUUUGCGGUAGCUUCAUUUUGGGAGCCUUUUGGACAAAAGAGACUUGCAAGGAGCUUAGGAGACUAAAUGAGAGGUAGAGAGGAAAGGAUUUUAGAAGAAAAAGCAAAGAUUUUGGGG